rfam:Dialister sp. CAG:588 genomic scaffold, scf30
UAUUCAUCUCGAGUGACAGAGGGACUGGCCCUAUGAAGUCACGGCAACCAUCAACAAAGAAACGGUGCCAAUUCCAGCGAGAUUAUCUCGAAAGAUGAUAC